rnacentral:rRNA from 1 species
GCGUGCUUACACAUGCAAGUCGAACGGAAAGGCCUUUUCGGAGGUACUCGAGUGGCGAACGGGUGAGUAACACGUGGGUGAUCUGCCCUGCACUCUGGGAUAAGCCUGGGAAACUGGGUCUAAUACCGGAUAGGACCGCACUUUAGUGUGUGUGGUGGAAAGUUUUUUCGGUGUAGGAUGAGCCCGCGGCCUAUCAGCUUGUUGGUGGGGUAAUGGCCUACCAAGGCGGCGACGGGUAGCCGGACUGAGAGGUUGGUCGGCCACAUUGGGACUGAGAUACGGCCCAGACUCCUACGGGAGGCAGCAGUGGGGAAUAUUGCACAAUGGGCGCAAGCCUGAUGCAGCGACGCCGCGUGGGGGAUGACGGCCUUCGGGUUGUAAACUCCUUUCGCCAGGGACGAAGCGUUUUGUGACGGUACCUGGAGAAGAAGCACCGGCUAACUACGUGCCAGCAGCCGCGGUAAUACGUAGGGUGCAAGCGUUGUCCGGAAUUACUGGGCGUAAAGAGCUCGUAGGUGGUUUGUCACGUCGUCUGUGAAAUUCCACAGCUUAACUGUGGGCGUGCAGGCGAUACGGGCUGACUUGAGUACUGUAGGGGUAACUGGAAUUCCUGGUGUAGCGGUGAAAUGCGCAGAUAUCAGGAGGAACACCGAUGGCGAAGGCAGGUUUACUGGGCAGUUACUGACGCUGAGGAGCGAAAGCAUGGGUAGCAAACAGGAUUAGAUA